rnacentral:misc_RNA from 1 species
UCUCCGUUGUUGAACAAGCGGAGGGAUCAUAAAAGAGUUAUAUAACUCCCAAACCCAUGUGAACUUACUAUUUGUUGCCUCGGCAGAGCCUACCCGGUAACUGUUCGGAGAAGCUACCCUGUAGCUACCCUGUAACGGCCUACCCUGUAACGUCCUGCCGGUGGACCUUUAAACUCUUGUUAUUUUAUAGUAAUCUGAGCGUCUUAUUUUAAUAAGUCAAAACUUUCAACAACGGAUCUCUUGGUUCUGGCAUCGAUGAAGAACGCAGC